AUUUAAAUAGUUUAAAUAAAAUAUUGAUUUGUGAAAUCAAAGUUGGAUUUAAUCCUUUAGAUA
rnacentral:tRNA from 1 species